rnacentral:rRNA from 1 species
UACGUAGGGUGCAAGCGUUGUCCGGAAUUAUUGGGCGUAAAGAGCUUGUAGGCGGUUUGUCGCGUCUGCUGUGAAAUUUCGGGGCUCAACCCCGAACUUGCAGUGGGUACGGGCAGACUAGAGUGUGGUAGGGGAGACUGGAAUUCCUGGUGUAGCGGUGAAAUGCGCAGAUAUCAGGAGGAACACCGAUGGCGAAGGCAGGUCUCUGGGCCGGUACCGACGCUGAGGAGCGAAAGCGUGGGGAGCGAACAGG